GAGGGGCUGCGUUGUAUUAGCUAGUUGGUGGGGUAACGGCUCACCAAGGCGACGAUACAUAGCCGACCUGAGAGGGUGAUCGGCCACACUGGGACUGAGACACGGCCCAGACUCCUACGGGAGGCAGCAGUAGGGAAUCUUCGGCAAUGGACGGAAGUCUGACCGAGCAACGCCGCGUGAGUGAAGAAGGCCUUCGGAUCGUAAAGCUCUGUUGUAAGAGAAGAAACGACCUUCAU
rnacentral:rRNA from 1 species